rnacentral:rRNA from 1 species
UUGAUCAUGGCUCAGAUUGAGACGCUCGGUCGGCCAGCCUAACACAUGCAAGUCGAGCGGCAGCACAAGUAAGUUUACUUAUGAGGUGGCGAGCGGCGGACGGGUGAGUAAUGCCUAGGGAUCUGCCCAGUCGAGGGGGAUAACAGUUGGAAACGACUGCUAAUACCGCAUACGCCCUACGGGGGAAAGGAGGGGACCUUCGGGCCUUCCGCGAUUGGAUGAACCUAGGUGGGAUUAGCUAGUUGGUGAGGUAAUGGCUCACCAAGGCGACGAUCCCUAGCUGU